UACGUAGGUCGCAAGCGUUGUCCGGAUUUACUGGGCGUAAAGAGCGCGCAGGCGGCUGGUCAAGUCCGAUGUGAAAUCUCCCGGCUCAACUGGGAAACUGCAUCGGAAACUGAUCGGCUUGAAGAUGGGAGAGGGUAGUGGAAUUCCCGGUAUAGUGGUGAAAUGCGUAGAUAUCGGGAGGAACACCAGUGGCGAAGGCGACUACCUGGCCCAUUCUUGACGCUGAGGCGCGAAAGCUAGGGGAGCGAACGGG
rnacentral:rRNA from 1 species